GUCAUAUAUAGAGAUAUAAUGGUGGGUCUUCCACAAUACAUUCACGUACUGCCCCUGCGCCAUAUAUAGCGGGGCGAGGCGGGGGCGGCGAGCGGCGCGCUGCUCGCUGAUCUGAUCAUUGAUGAGGCUGUUACUGAUAGAGGUGAGUGUCAUAUAUAGAGAUAUAAUGGUGGGUCUUCCACAAUACAUUCACGUACUGCCCCUGCGCCAUAUAUAGCGGGGCGAGGCGGGGGCGGCGAGCGGCGCGCUGCUCGCUGAUCUGAUCAUUGAUGAGGCUGUUACUGAUAGAGGUGAGUGUCAUAUAUAGAGAUAUAAUGGUGGGUCUUCCACAAUACAUUCACGUACUGCCCCUGCGCCAUAUAUAGCGGGGCGAGGCGGGGGCGGCGAGCGGCGCGCUGCUCGCUGAUCUGAUCAUUGAUGAGGCUGUUACUGAUAGAGUGUUGUGCCGUCAGGUGGUGGUGCUGUCCGUGCGGGAGGCGCGCUCGUGACGUGACGUGACGCGGUGUGACGUGACGUGACCCGGCGUGACGUGACGUGACGCGACUACUAUUUAUUGUGCUGUAUCAUACUAUAUCUAUAUCAUUACUCGUUAAUUAUAUUCAUAUGUGAUAUCCUU